rnacentral:rRNA from 1 species
CUAAGUGUCGGCGGGUUACCGCCGGUGCCGCAGCUAACGCAUUAAGUAUCCCGCCUGGGAAGUACGGCCGCAAGGUUGAAACUCAAAGGAAUUGACGGGGGCCCGCACAAGCGGUGGAGCAUGUGGUUUAAUUCGACGCAACGCGAAGAACCUUACCCAGGCUGGACAUGCAGGUAGUAGAAGGGUGAAAGCCUGACGAGGUAGCAAUACCAUCCUGCUCAGGUGCUGCACGGCUGUCGUCAGCUCGUGCCGUGAGGUGUUGGGUUAAGUCCCACAACGAGCGCAACCCCUGUCUUCAGUUACCAACGGGUCAUGCCGGGAACUCUGGAGAGACUGCCCAGGAGAACGGGGAGGAAGGUGGGGAUGACGUCAAGUCAGCAUGGCCUUUAUGCCUGGGGCCACACACGUGCUACAAUGGCCAGUACAACGGGCUGCCACGGCGCGAGCCGGAGCGAAUCCUCAAAGCUGGUCUCAGUUCGGAUUGUAGGCUGCAACUCGCCUGCAUGAAGCUGGAAUUGCUAGUAACCGUGGAUCAGCAUGCCGCGGUGAAUACGUACUCGGGGCUUGUACACACCGCCCGUCACACCACGAAAGUAGGCAACACCCGAAGUCCGUGGGCUAACCGUAAGGAAGCAGCGGCCGAAGGUGGGGUCAAUGAUUGGGGUGAAGUCGUAACAAGGUAGCCGUAGCGGAAGCU